rnacentral:lncRNA from 1 species
CAAAAUGGGAUUCCAUUAAAUGAGCAAUCAAGAGCCCCAUUUGCGGUUUUAGCUCAAAACACUCACAAUGUCAACUUGCCAGACCAGCAUCAUGUCUGCAAUUUGAAAUUUAGUGAUUAUGGUAAUGCCUUUAGAUUGAAUUUUUUUUUUCUUUGGAACUUAAUUCUUGCAGUUGUGAAACUCAAAAUAAGAGAACAAACUCAAAAUAAGAGAACAGGACAACAUUAAGGGUGUGUUUGGUAUGCGGAAGUGUUUUCUGCUUUUAUUAUUAAUUACAAUAAUGUCACAUCAUUUUCACCUCGUUUCCCAUGUUGCCCAUAUCCUAUUCAAAUAUUUGAAAACAGAAAACAAGUGAAAACAAUGUGACACUUUUGCAAUCAUUAAUGAAAACAUAAAACAAACAUACUGUUUGGUUUGUUUUCUAUUUUCAUUUACAUUUUCAGUUAAUAUUUUUUCACUAAUAGUAAAAAUAUCACAUUAUUGUGUUUCCUGUUUUCAAGUUUUUGUGAAGGAAUUGGUGAAACUGAAAUCAACAUAAGGAAAAGAGGAAACUAAAUGAAAACAAGGUGACAUUUUAAAAUUAUAAGUGAAAACAUAUAAACUGAAAAUGAAAAUAGAAAAUUAGUAAAACACCUCUAAAUAUAUUAUGCCAUAAAUAGCAUUGUCUAUUCUAUCACUCUAAUGUGACUCUUGGUUUAUCAUGCUUUUGCAGCUGAAAAUAACAAGAUUCAAGGAACAUUCCUUAAAAAGGAUGACCCAAAGAUAAACGCAUUGAUGCAACAAGCAGAGUUAUUAAGUUCACUAGCUCUAAAAGUAGAUGCAGAGAAUAUGGACCAAAGUCUUGAAAAUGCAUGGAAGGUGAGGCUUGAUAGUCUCAGAACUUACUUUUGUUUCGAUUUUUGAACAUCUUAUGGGCUUCUUUAGAAAUGAGCUCCAAUUGAUGUCAUCAAAAGAAAAGACCGAAUUAUAGAUUAUGAAGAAGUUCAACAUGAACAGAACUAAAUCAAUUUUUAACAUGCCAAGCCUAUCUACAUGAAACUCAUGGAAGUCAUUUAACAUCUUAAUAUAUUUGAUGCUGGCUUUGAAAAACCUAAAACAGAUUCACUGGUCCGCUGGAUAGUAUACAUUUAUUAUUGGAGAGAUUACAUUGAUUCUGCUAAUGCUUGUAUGUAUUUCUGUACUAGCUGAUUUUACAAUGCUUAGUUCUUCAGCACCCUGGUCAUUUAUUAUAUGCUAAUCACAAAGAAUCAGACAUUAUAUGAUACUACAAUUGCUACACUAAAACAACAUUUCCGCCUGUGUUCGAAGCAUUUAUAAAUGUCAAAGAUUUCCUAGGAUUGAUUUGUGUAUCUCCAAUAUGUUCCUUAACACAAGAGUCACUUGAAGUGUGAAUAGUGCACAAGCCCACAUUACCUUCUACUAAAUUUAAUUUUGCACACGAUGAGGUGGCAUGGAUUGAACACUUGACCACUUAGUCCUAAAUGUUAGUAAUGGCUUUAAAAAAUAUGAUAAUUUCGCAGAUCAGCUUGUUAGCAUAUAAUCAAAUAUAAAAAGGCUCAACUUGUUUAUGAUAAGCCCAUCACCAGCUGAUAUCACCAAGGCUUAGUUCUUCAGCUUAUAAAUAAGAGAAAGGUCAUUGUUAAAAAGAUAUGUUCUAACGCUUGUGUGUAUUUAUGCCAGGUUCUUCAAGAAUUUCUGAACCGAACCAAAGAGUCAGACAUUCCUAGAUAUAAGAUUCCAGAUUUACAACUUGUAGAUCUAAAAGAGUUAUUGGCGGACUUAAAGAGCAGUAGUGAGGAAAUCCAGCCAUGCUGGAGGUACUUUAUUUUCAUUAAAAAUAUGACUUCAUGAGAGCUAUCGAAUAUCUAACAGUUUCUGCAUCUAUCGUAGGCAAAUGGAACUAUAUGAAGACUCUCCAGGCAGUUCGGAAUACAGUACAGGAUCAACUCUCCUGCCUCAUUCAGCUGGUGAGGAUUUGGAACACUCACUGCAUCAGGAUAUUGGAACCGAACUGAAUAUACAAAUUGAAGAUUCAGAAGGAGUUAGGGGAUGUGACCAAGGGGUUCUUUCUAGUGCAACUCUGGAUCAAGGUUAGAUAAUUAAGUCCCAUGAUAACAAAAAGUAAAAAUGAAGAUAAAUUUUGGUAAAAAUAUUUCCAGUUUAGGAACAACUAACCACUCUGCUGAUUAAUGUGUAGCCACUUAUUUAUCUAAUUUAAAUGGUUAGUUAUUCCUAAACUGGAAAUGUUUUUUACCAAGGAGUUAAUAUUUUAUAAUUUCCUCAAAAUAGAAUUGUUUUUAUAUGCUAACAUUUUAAUGAAUCAGAAUCACUAAUUAGAUAUAUCUUUCUAUCACAGAUUUAUUCCCAUCUUGUGAGGAACAGAUAAACAAUGAUGCAAUUGUUUCUGCCUUAUCAAGUUCAGCGGAGUUCAGUUCACCUCUUCAAGUUACCCCUCUGUUUAGAUCCUUAGCUGCUGGAAUUCCUAGCCCACAAUUUUCAGAAAGUGUAAGUUAGCCAAGCACUUUGAGAUCAAAUAAAUAUGGCCAACCACAAAAUUACAGUCUGAUUAUACAUUUAUACUUGUAAUAAUGAUAAAUAGGGGAGAUACUGAACCAUGUAGCAUACAAGUUGUACCCUCAUCAGUUCUAGUUGUUCUUAACUUCUUAUAAGAUCAACCUCUAUCAACCCUAGGACUUUUGGAAUAUCAUUUAUUGCUAGAUACUUCAGUAGUAGUGGUGGGGAUCUUUCAGCAUAACUAAUGGUGGAGAUAGUAAUAGGAAGAUAAAGAAUAAAUCAUUAAUGCUCGAGUUACGUACUGUUACUGAUUUUAAGAUUUUAUCCUUAAAAUGUUGGGGUAAACAUCAUUAGGGCAUUGGAUUAGUGGAACUGGAAUUCAAUUGAUACAGAUAAAAAAGGAGUAAAAAAAGUUUAUUCUAGGAAGUGAUGUCAAGGGGACAGGUAGUUACAUAAUUGGAGAUAGGUUUUAAGAUGGGAAAUAACUUGUUUAGCAAUAAUAAGCACAUAUAAUGUGUCAUGUAACUGAAACUGAUAGGUAAAGCUUUGGUGUUGCAAGGAUAAUUUAAGCUUCUUUUCUCACCAUGAUUAGUUUUAGUAUCUUUUUCAUUCCUAAUAGUUUAAGUAUCUAGGCUUUGUAAAAGCUAAUAUGCGGGUUACUUGUAGUUGUGACACUCAUGCAAUACAUUAUGUAGGUUUUUUAAAGUUUCUCAUUUAGACUUUGUAACUUAAAAACUUUCGUUUGAGGAAGGUUCAUUAUAUUUCAUAAGACAGGAUUCAAAACAAAUAUAUUUUACUAUAAGAAGCUAGUGUCACAUUUUCUUCUAUAAUUAGGACAUACUUUGACAUAAUAUGUUAUUCAAUAUAUAUUUAAAAUAAAAUAAUAAAAUAUACAGCUAGGUCUUUAGUCCUGCAUCUAGUCCCAACUCAAUAAGACAAUAACUACAACAAAAAGGGGGAAGCUGUAUUUGUUUUCGUGAAAAGAUAUUGCAGGCAUAAUGUUUAUCACUUUAACCCACAAAAAUAGUUUCAUCUCUAAAUUUAAAUACACUUUAUAUUUAUUUGUUUUCCUUUGUAAGAAAUAUACUGAUAAAAUGUUGACAAAACAAAAACAUAUAGGUUAAGCAUAUAAAUAUUGUAUCUUUGUGCUGAAAACUAUUGAAGCAAGAAACCUCUUACCCAACAAGAAAUAAUUAUGUGACAAGAUUUAUAGUGUAAGAUGUUAGUUGUUAUCACCAUCUUCAUUUAUCAUCUAAUGUAUCAAUAGAACACAAAGCAUACAUCUACCAUUCUUGCAGCAUCAACCAUAUUUUCUUCUUUCUUUGGCAUUCUUUUAUAUGUUUUCCUUUUCUUUUUCAGGAAAGGAGCUUCCUUAUGAAAACACUCGGAAUGGAGUCUCCGUCGCUCAAUCCAAGUGUCAACCCCUCACAACCGCCACUCUGCAAAAGAGCCCUCCUAAUCUGAAUCUCUAAUUCAUCUGAAAUACAAGACAUUUACAAGCCCUUUCCCAUUUCUGAACCCUUUCUCCCCACCCAUGGCAAUCUAGCCUGUUAGUUCUUUUCUGCUUGGUUUGAGAAAGAUUGCAAUUUUGUUCAGCCUAAAAUUUUGGAAGCCAUACCCUCCUCCAGAAUGUAAUGGUACAUUCUGAGGAUCAUCAACACAUCUAACAGUGUCCUUUUCUGGCCCUCCUCCUCAAAGGGUUACCUUUCUUGAUACCUGCACCGAAAAAAUAGUGUGCUUACUGCUUAGUGUGUCAUUCUUUGGUUUGUUUUGAUAUUAUUCUGGGUUUGUUUUUCUCCAAUCCAGCUUUUGAUCUUGGUUUGCCUUUUUGUACAGAGUUUGCAGUGUGAUACUAGUAGUCCUGAGUGUAUGUAUACACUGGCAAUUCGCCAUCCUACUACAUAUAAUGAACAGAGACAUAGAUAGAAGAGAGAAAGAAGAAAAAAAAGAGUAAAAAGAUUAACCAGUGGCAAAUUGGAUUCCUCUUUGUUGUUUUUGGGUGUGCAUAUAUCAUAGAAUAAACAUUUUUUUAUUCCUUUUUGGUUCUGAUGUACUGAAACAUAGUUAUAAUUGGAGUGGAAAUGCAUUUUGGCUUGGGUGUGCAGAUACUGUUUCUAUUUUGUCUAACCUGGAUUUAAACACAACCAUAUGUAGUUCAAACAAAGCAAAAGAAAAGCAAGGAGCUCACAGCAGGAAAAAAGAAACAGGCAUGAACACACUCAGUCUCAAAGAACAUUAUGAAAGUAAAGCUUUCAAGAAGAGAAAUGAAAAAAAAACGAUGUAAAUAACAUCACUGAGAACUGUUGGUAGCAAAUGGCAAACAAUUCAUUGCAAGUUUGACCCUCAUUUCACUACUGCAAAAGACAGACCUUUCAGCAACAUGAGCUCCAUUUCGUUUCCAAAAGGCAAAAAUAAAAAUAAAGAAAGCAAAAGUUGUGUACUUACAAACACUACAGAGCAUACCUGGGACCCUGGACUGACAGAGGCAUGCAAACAUUUCUCUCUUCCCUUUCAGCACACUUGUUUUGCCAUGGAGUGUGCUUUGCAGAAGAACAAUUCUGGGGGGAACUAGUUUUUAUUUAGGAUGAUUAUUAGUUCAAGGGUGGUGGUGGAAGACAGGAGAAAGAUAAUAAUAAUAAUAAUAAUAAUGGCAAUGGCUAAAGAGACUGGUAAAAAGAAGGAGGGAACUCCUUACAAAAUAAAGCAUAUUUUGACUCAUUUUGUUAGCUGUUUACUUUCUCGAGGGAAGGUACCCUUUGACUCAUUUGACAUUCCAAUUUCCACUUACUUAACAACUUGAUCUCACCA